rnacentral:misc_RNA from 1 species
UGGCACUGAGAAAGCCCAGG